rnacentral:rRNA from 1 species
AUGGCACUGCCCGGUAGCUAAAUGCGGAAGAGAUAAGUGCUGAAAGCAUCUAAGCACGAAACUUGCCCCGAGAUGAGUUCUCCCUGAGACUAUAAGUCUCCUGAAGGAACGUUGAAGACGACGACGUUGAUAGGCCGGGUGUGUAAGCGCAGCGAUGCGUUGAGCUAACCGGUACUAAUGAACCGUGAGGCUUAACCUU